rnacentral:lncRNA from 1 species
GUGGAAUAUGAAUAUCCUUCAAUGUGUUUGAAAGUAACAAUAUAUUCACUCAGCCCAUUAAGGAAUUUCAGUUCAUCUCGUUCAUUCUCCUUACCGGUGCUAGCUUCCUCGGGAUAUCCUUUUCUUUAUAUUGCCCAGUUGACUUGACUUAACUAGGCUAUUGUUUUGUUUGUCAAUUUUCCUUUAUAUCUUCUAUUUUGCAGUUUAUGCUCGCUUGUGACUAUAUAAGUUUGUAAUUAUGCCUAUAUCAUAGGUGCUGUCAUUGGCCAUAUUGUUUUUAUUUCCGAGCUAUGGUGCUAGCAUUAGCUUUUCUAGUUGUGCGACCUAGUUUCUGCUUUGUAUCAGGUAUUUGCUUUUCAGAUGGAACUUUAGUUUGGAGUUAAGAGAGUAAAUAAAUUUUGUUCUCACUCCCAAUUUGUGAAACUUCAGUAGUUCAAAUUUAUCUCAAUUGAGUAAUAAUGCUACCCCGGUGAAUACUAAAUACACCAUUAUGCUACUGCUCAAGGCAUUUUCAUGGAUGUUUCUUCUGUGUUUUUAACUGUGAUGCUAUUCUGGUUUACCCCGGUGAUUUAAGUACAAAUUUGUACAGGAGAGAGCGCAUUUACAUCUUUGAGUCAAAUUUAACCAUUUUAUCAAGUUAAUUUAUUAGAUGCAUCAUAUUUUUGUCGAUUUGUGAGUGACAUGUAUAAAAGCUUGCGGCUGUGUCUUCCUAUCUCUCUGCUUGUGGCCGAUUCAUU